rnacentral:lncRNA from 1 species
UCGCUAAACAUAUAUGUACAUUACCCCAAUCCCAAAGGGAUCAAAACAACAUUGAGAGCGCACUCUCGAAGAAACUAGUGAAACUAUGAGCACGAACGCCCGGCGCUGCUCUUGGGCCGUCCGCCUCCCAGGUGACUCCACCGCGGAGCUUGAAGCCACCUGCUUCGCCUUGCCACUCCUCCACUCGGUCACAAUGAUGUCAGGCCAGACGAACACCAUGUCGAUCUAGCUCGACGUCGUCGCAGCCAAGCGGUCCAACUCGAGCACGAUGACCCGGCGUCGCUCAUGGGUCACUCGCCUCCAAGGUGACUCCACUGCACAAGCUGAAGCCACCUGUUACGCCCCAAGACGUGAUGCUGUGUCUUGGAGCGCCUACCUCCCCAGUGUACUUCCAACACUAAGUCGGUGCCCAUUGCGAACAAACUCCAAGGCGUAGAACAAGCGAGGUGUGAGCCUCCUCCAGCUCUAGACUAGAGCGUGCUACCUUGCCUCCCACACUAGACAAGUGCGCUGGCCCCCUUCAAUGAUAUACGAGCCCCCGUUGACUUACUAUAUCGCAACACAAGCAACUUAUCCCCCGUAAGGGUGUAUCCGACUUCCCUAUGCUAUUAAGAAGUCUUGGGUAGCUACCUUCUACCCGUUUAGGGUUUAGGGUUUAGGGUUUUAGGGUUUAGGGUUUAGGUUUAGGGUUUAGGGUUUAGGGUUUAGGCGCGUUUAGGGUUUAGGCGCGUUUAGGCGUUUAGGGUCAAAGACACCCCGUGGUGUUGCAAUCCGGCGAGAUCGCUAAACAUAUAUGUACAUUACCCCAAUCCCAAAGGGAUGAAAACAACAUUGAGAGCGCACUCUCGAAGAAACUAGUGAAACUAUGAGCACGAACGCCCGGCGCUGCUCUUGGGCCGUCCGCCUCCCAGGUGACUCCACCGCGGAGCUUGAAGCCACCUGCUUCACCUUGCCACUCCUCCACUCGGUCGCAAUGAUGUCAGGCCAGACGAACACCAUGUCGAUCUAGCUCGAC